rnacentral:rRNA from 1 species
AGAGUUUGAUCCUGGCUCAGAUUGAACGCUGGCGGCAUGCCUUACACAUGCAAGUCGAACGGUAGAGGGGCAACCCUCGAGAGUGGCGAACGGGUGAGUAAUGCAUCGGAACGUGCCCAGUAGUGGGGGAUAGCCCGGCGAAAGCCGGAUUAAUACCGCAUACGACCUACGGGUGAAAGCGGGGGAUCGCAAGACCUCGCGCUAUUGGAGCGGCCGAUGUCAGAUUAGGUAGUUGGUGGGGUAAAAGCCUACCAAGCCGACGAUCUGUAGCUGGUCUGAGAGGACGACCAGCCACACUGGGACUGAGACACGGCCCAGACUCCUACGGGAGGCAGCAGUGGGGAAUUUUGGACAAUGGGCGAAAGCCUGAUCCAGCCAUGCCGCGUGCGGGAAGAAGGCCUUCGGGUUGUAAACCGCUUUGUCAGGAAAGAAAUCCUUUGGGCUAAUACCCUGAGGGGAUGACGGUACCUGAAGAAUAAGCACCGGCUAACUACGUGCCAGCAGCCGCGGUAAUACGUAGGGUGCAAGCGUUAAUCGGAAUUACUGGGCGUAAAGCGUGCGCAGGCGGUUGUGCAAGACAGAUGUGAAAUCCCCGGGCUUAACCUGGGAACUGCAUUUGUGACUGCACGGCUAGAGUACGGUAGAGGGGGGAUGGAAUUCCGCGUGUAGCAGUAGAAAUGCGUAGAUAUGCGGAGGAACACCGAUGGCGAAGGCACGUCCCCCUGGACCUGUACUGACGCUCAUGCACGAAAGCGUGGGGGAGCAAACAGGAUUAGAUACCCUGGUAGUCCACGCCCUAAACGAUGUCAACUGGUUGUUGGGAAGGUUCCUUCUCAGUAACGU